rnacentral:lncRNA from 1 species
CCUUACAUCAAAAGAUUACCACACUGUGACAGUGCAAAGACAAGCACUUUUUCGCUUACUGCAUGUACCAUUUCUGCUUCAUCCCAAGACCAGAUGCAACCUUUCUUCUAAAAUCUCUGCAGGCUUCUUCUUGGUUUCUUCGUACAUUCUGGAUCCACCCCUUUCAUGCAUAUUCCAGACCACAUUUCCACUGGAGCAGUUGAAAUGAGAGAGAUGGGAAUGGGACUCACCCGAACCAGAGGAAUUUUUAUUACAGACCCAUUAACAGAGGUGUCAAAGUCACAGGAACAAGGAUGUGCACCUCAGAAACACAGAGGUCAGUGGAAAAUCAGUUUGCUUCUAUUUGUUUAAAAAAUGGGGGACUUAUGCAUAAAUCUAAGACCUUCUUGAAUCUAACAUUCUAAGACCUGUAUGCCACAGAAAGGAGGGUCUCAGAACGCCGGAGGAUAGUAUUUAAAUCUUAAAUAUCUAUAUUGUUCUCCACAGUUACUGGGUCACCACAUAGCAGGCAUUCAAUAAAAACGUGUUUGUUUACUAAGUAA